rnacentral:rRNA from 1 species
CCUACGGGAGGCUGCAGUGGGGAAUAUUGCACAAUGGGCGCAAGCCUGAUGCAGCCAUGCCGCGUGUGUGAAGAAGGCCUUCGGGUUGUAAAGCACUUUCAGCGGGGAGGAAGGCGGUGAGGUUAAUAACCUCAUCGAUUGACGUUACCCGCAGAAGAAGCACCGGCUAACUCCGUGCCAGCAGCCGCGGUAAUACGGAGGGUGCAAGCGUUAAUCGGAAUUACUGGGCGUAAAGCGCACGCAGGCGGUCUGUCAAGUCGGAUGUGAAAUCCCCGGGCUCAACCUGGGAACUGCAUUCGAAACUGGCAGGCUAGAGCCUUGUAGAGGGGGGUAGAAUUCCAGGUGUAGCGGUGAAAUGCGUAGAGAUCUGGAGGAAUACCGGUGGCGAAGGCGGCCCCCUGGACAAAGACUGACGCUCAGGUGCGAAAGCGUGGGGAGCAAACAGGAUUAGAUACCCGGGUAGUC